rnacentral:rRNA from 1 species
AUUGAACGCUGGCGGCAGGCCUAACACAUGCAAGUCGAACGAGUCGCAGACGGGUGUGUAAUGUCUGAGAAACUGCCUGAUGGAGGGGGAUAACUUCUGGAACCGGUAGCAAAUACCGCAUACCAUGAGAUGUGCCCAGAUGGGAUUAGCGAGUUGGUGGGGUAAGGGAUCAACAAGGAGACGAUCCCUAUCUGGUCUGAGAGGAUGACCAGCAACACUGGAACUGAGACACGGUCCAGACUCCUACGGGAGGCAGCAGUGGGGAAUAUUGCACAAUGGGCGCAAGACUGAUGCAGCCAUGCCGCGUGUAUGAAGAAGGCCUUCGGGUUGUAAAGUACGUUCAGCGGGGAGGCGUUACCCGCAGAAGAAGCACCGGCUAACUCCGUGCCAGCAGCCGCGGUAAUUC